rnacentral:tRNA from 3 species
GCGUGCGUAGCUCAGCUGGAUAGAGCGCUUGCCUCCGGAGCAAGAGGUCGUGGGUUCGAAUCCCGCCGCGCGCA